rnacentral:rRNA from 1 species
UUUAAGCUAAAUAUUUCUAAAAGAAUCUUUAUAUUCAAGUUUUCAUUCAAAGAGCCCUGGCUUGAAUGUAUAUAACGUUUAUAUAGCCUCUCUCUCUCUCCUCUGAACCCCAUAAUUUAUUAUGGGGUACGGCGGAGAGAGGGGGGAGUGUUCGAGAGCAAAGAAAUAUUUAGUAAAAUUGGCCCUUUCUCCUUUAUCAACCUUCUUCUCUCUCCAUUGCAGGGAAUCGAAAGAGAAGGGGGGAGGGAGAUCGGAGAAUCUAACGAUAAACCCUCAGAGAAGUUUUUUAGUAAACGAAGUGAAUUGAAAUAUCUUAGUAACUUCAGGAAAAGAAAUCAAAAGAGAUUCUAUGAUUAGCGUGAGUGAAAAUAGAGUAGCCUACUAACAUUAAGUAAAAUGGUUAAAAAACUGUUUGAAUUAAAUGGGGAACCUUCCUCAAAGGCUAAAUAUAAUACAUAAGCGACAGUGAAAAGUAUCAUGAGAGAAAGAUUGUAAUUAGUAGUUUUAUAAGCAGUUCGAGCCAAAUAAAUAAGUGAGAACGUACCUUUUGCAUAAUGGGUCACCUAGUUAACAUUAGAUGCGAGUGAAAGCGUAGGUAAACCAAUCGUUAAAAUAACGAAUAGUGUCUAAAGUUAGACCCGAAGCCUGGUGAUUUUACCAUAAUCAGGAUUAUAAAAGUCCGAACGGGUUAUCGUUGUAAAGAUAUCCGAGGAAUUAUGGUAGGUAGUGAAAGACAACACUGACUAGGAUAGCUGGUUUUCUGCGAAACCUAUAACAGUAGGCAAUUUGAGUAACAUCUUAGCAGGUACAGAAUUUAAUCUCAGACAAGAUGUUUAAAUUUUAGUGGUUAUAGCCAUUAAAACAACAUGUUGAUUUGUAUAUAUCGGGGGAUCGUGAAGAUUUUAUCGGUGAGUAUGUAGACUCGGAAUGGCAAAGAUGGAUCUUGAAUUAUCGGACAUAGAAUGAUAAGGUUGUAUGUCAAAAGGGAAACAGCCCAGAACAAGAGUUAAGGUUCCAAAAUUAUUAGUUAAGUGAAAUUAAGAAGGUUUUUAUUAAAGUCGACAAGGAGAUGGGCUUAGAAGCAGCCAAAUUUUGAAGACCUCGUAACAGAGCGCUUGUUAAGUUUUAAAAGCAUCGAAAAUUUAACGGAUCUAAACAAUAUACCGAAACCUUGUCCAUAUUUUACUAUAUAUAUUUAUUGUAUAGUAAUUUUGUGGGGUAGCAGAACGUUGAAUUAAAUUAAGAUAUUUCUUCAGCGAAGAAAUAUAUGAUAAUCAAUUCAAGUGAGAAUGGUGACAUGAGUAACGAAUAAGAAGGAAGGUUCCCGCCCGAUUCCCCCUCUUAGUUAAGAUUAUUUAACUAGGAGGCGAGCUGGGAAUUGAAAUCCUCCGCCUAAAGCUUAUGGAUUAGCAAGGAGCUUGAAAGUAACGGCCUCUAAGUAAUAGACCUAAAGGUUUAAACGAUGAGAAAAUCUAAAUUACUAAAUGACAACAUUUUGGUCCCCCUCCUUUUUCUCCCCUCCCCCCUCCUCAAUUAAUUGAGGAGGAGGGAGGGGAGUCGAGGAGGUGCUAGGGGGAAUAAGUGAAAAGUGUUCUGGAAAAAAUAGUAAUAAUGAUAUUUUUAUUUAGUAAAUACAACAAACUAAAACAGAUGAGUUUAAAGAUAUAAAUAUUAUACCGUACCUAGAAUCUGAAACAAGUAAGCUAGUAGAGAAUACGAAGGCGUAAAUGAGCUAACAAUCAUAAAGGAACUCGGCAAAUUAACUACCGUAACUUCGGGAUAAGGAGGGCUCAUUAGUCCUGAUGAAUAUCGGGUAAAAAGGAAGAAGCAUAAAAUAAUGUUGUACGACUGUUUAAUUAAAACAAAGCACUCCGCAAAAAGAUUAAAAAUCGAUGUAUUGAGUGUGAUGUCUGCCCGAUCCCGGCUGGUUAACGGAUUUAACUAAAUUAUUAAAAAAUUUGGUGUUGAAGGAACCCCCGGUUAAUGGCGGCCUUAACGUGAGGGUCCUAAGGUAGCGAAAUGCCUUGGCCGUUAAAUGCGGUCUUGCAUGAAUGAUGUAACGAUACAACAGCUGUCUCUAUGAUUGACUCAGUGAAAUUGGAAUAACUGUGCAGAUACAGUUUACCUCUAGUUAGACGAGAAGACCCUAUGCAGCUUUACUGUUACUAAUUAUUGGGUAUGAUGAAUUAAUUUUCAGAUUAUAAGGUAAAUUGGUUAAUAAAAAUGAAAAUCCUUUAUUUUCGCAUCAUACUUCAGAGUCUCUUGCUUGUUGAAUACUAAUUCAGUGGGCGCUUCUGGCUUCAGUGGGCGCUUCUGGCGCCAAUACAGAAGCCCAAAUGAGAGAUAGCCUCAGUUCUGACUUUUAAGUAGCCUUAGAAAGGAAUAUAUGGUUAGGAGACAGUUUAUGUGGGGCACAGACCCCUUAAAGAGUAAAAGGGAGUGUCUAAAAAUUAUUUGUUAUAGGCACAAGCUUGGCUUCGCUUAGCUUGGCCGUAACGUUGUUUGUGGUUUUAUGUAGUUUUACUAUAUUUAAUCUUCUAAAAUUAUUUCUAUCUACCCUCGCUGUAGAUACGAAUGGAUAUUUAGGUACGUUUUUCACUAUAGUGAAAAUAGCGGUAUAAUAAAAAAUAUUAUGAAUAAAUUUUCUAAUGUUUUUUGAGUUAUUAAGAGA